AAACUAGCCAGGCAGCAGGGGAGAUACAUGAUCAUGAAGACAGUUUUCCUAGGGCGAGGCUUAUCCAUUGCACUCCGGAUGUGCUGACCCCUACGAUUUCCCCAAAUGUGGGAAACUGACUGCAUAAUUUGUGGUAGUGGGGGACUGCGUUCACACUUUUCCCUA
ensembl:snRNA U1 U1 spliceosomal RNA